GAGACAUUUUUACCGCGGUAAAAAUAGCGCUGAUGAUUAAAAAAGGAGAUAAAAUAUUUCAUUCGUAAAUUAUUAUUUAACCUUUGGUGAUUAAAUACUUCAAGUGGAACAAAGGAUACAAUGUGAUAUAUACAAUAUAAAAUAAAGUGCCGAGGGUGUAGUUAUAGUGGGCUCGAGAAAAGACACGCGGCGUGGAGAACGUAAAACAUCUGUCGGCAAUCUGGAGGCUGUAAUCUCCAAAAUACAAGAGAUGCCGUGGCGAUCGCGCGAGACAACUAUUGCAGGAAAGGAUAAGAGGAGAGAAAAAAACACACAAACUAAAGGAAACUUUUGGAAUUUAAGAUAAACAGGGGAUUAAAUGGAUAGCUCCAGCUCAAGGAAAAGGACGGAUUGGGAAGCGGUAAAAAAAUUAUAUCUGCCACUGUAAGUUAGGCUUUUUUCUUCGCUUACCAGCUCUUUUCUCUUUUUUGAGACUCACGGGGUGAAAGACGCCACUGAAUUAAGUUGCAUUUGAAAGCAACAGAAUAUAUUAGAAGGUUAGAUUCGUACAAUGCACUCAAAGCGACAUUUUUACGGCCAUAUACGUCAGAUCGGAGUCAUGCACCCACAUUAAAAACAACAAGGACGUUGUUGAAAUAUAAGGUAUGAUUAUGUGGGCGUUCAACCUGACGAUUGGAUCUACAUGACAUGAAUUUAAAUCAAUUGCUUUUAUUGCUUUUACAUAUUGCUGGGGAAUAUGUAAUUGAUAUAUUACUGAGUUCCAUUGUGCUGAAAGGCCAGAGAAAAAAGGGACAUCACAUGUAUGUAAUGUCAGAGAGAAUUCAAGCACAGCACAGCGAGACUAUAAAGAGCAAAGAAGUUGGCAACAGGAUUAAAGAGUGAAAGACCGGGAUGAAUUUUCCACGUGUGUGUGGUGAGUGCCAGGAGCAGUGAGUUGUUCUCACUCCAGACACGUUAUAUUUUCAGUAUGUACGGCAGAUUGUAACAUUAAAGACGCUUAUCAAGAUGGACGGGUUUGUAAUGGAACGAUCGUAAGUUUUAUCUUGAGCGUGAGAUUUUCAACCUCUCACCAGAAUAUUAAUGCUUAUUCUCAUUUAUAAUUUAUAAAAAUAUGUUAUAAACUAUCAAUCACUGAGCUUCAGUUCAAAUUUAUUUGUCUUUUUGUUUAAGAAUUUUUUAACUUCAAAAAAAUGUAUUUAUAUUUUUCAAAAUUGGAAAUGAACACUGCUAAAAUA